UGCAGUCUUUUCCUAACAACUUCCUGGAACAGAGUUGCUAUUUCCUUUAGCUGAAGCUCUCAGAAAUUCUCGAGCAGUCUGCAACGUGGCUGAACUUGGGUGAGAUUGUGCUGAGUGCCAUGAGCCAGGCUAAAAGGACAAGUGGCAUGUGGUUCCGCCCCAGCGAGCUGCUGUUCGUUUGCAAAAAUUCCCCUUCAGUGGGUCCUGUUGGAGUUGGAGUCAUUUUGCAUGGCAGCAAGUGGGAGAGACAGAGAGACAAUGGAGAGGGGCAGCUCUGGGGA